CGGCCAGGUGUGUCCUCCGUUAAAUCCACAGGCCUAACCUGUGGGCUGCGGAGGAUACUACCUGGCUUGGGGGUGGGAGAGGGCGGCGGUAUUCCCGGGGUAGGGGUAAAAUCCACUGAUCCCGGGAGGACCACCAGUGGCGAAGGCGGCCGCCCAGAACACGCCCGACGGUGAGGGGCGAAAGCUGGGGGAGCAAACGGGAUUAGAUACCCCGGUAGUCCCAGCCGUAAACGAUGCGGGCUAGGUGUCGGGCUGGCCACGGGCCAGCCCGGUGCCGAAGGGAAACCAUUAAGCCCGCCGCCUGGGGA
rnacentral:rRNA from 1 species